AAACUAGGAUUAGAUACCCCUAUUAUACCAAUAAGUAAUUAUUAUAAGCCUAAGUAUUAAUAGUUAUUUUCUAAAAAUUUGAAAAAUUUGGCGGUGGUUCAGUCCUGUCAGAGGAACCUGUCUUUUAAACGAUACACCACGAAAUAUUUUACUUAAACUGAUAAAGUAUGUAUACCAUCAUUAUUAGGUAAUUUUUAUAGAAUAAAUUACUAAAAGACUAGCAGGUAAAGCUAAAUAUAUUAGAUCAAGGUGCAGCUUAUGUUUAAGUUAAGAUGGGUUACAAUAAUAUUUAUUUAUUACGGAUAGGUGAUUUAAAUAUUGCCUGGAAGGAGGAUUUGAUUGUAAAAAUAGUUUAGUAUGAUAUUUAGAUAUAGGCUCUGAAGCAUGUACAUAUCGCCCGUCGCUUUCAUUCAUAAAAUGAGAUAAGUCGUAACAUAGUAGAUGUACUGGAAAGUGCA
rnacentral:rRNA from 1 species